rnacentral:tRNA from 1 species
CCCCAAAUAGCUCAGUUGGGGGAGCGUUAGAUUACAGAUCGAAAGGUCCCUGGUACGAUCCCGCGAUUCGGCA